rnacentral:rRNA from 1 species
UACGGAGGGUGCAAGCGUUGUCCGGAUUUAUUGGGUUUAAAGGGUGCGUAGGUGGUUUUCUAAGUCUGGCUUGAAAGCAAGCGGCUUAACCGUUUGAUGUGGCUGGAAACUGGAGGACUUGAAUGGGUUGGCGGUAGCCGGAAUGGGUCAUGUAGCGGUGAAAUGCAUAGAUAUGACCCGGAACACCGAUUGCGAAGGCAGGCUACUACGACUUGAUUGACACUGAGGCACGAGAGCAUGGGUAGCGAACAGG